rnacentral:tRNA from 1 species
AGGGGUAUAGCUCAGUGGUAGAGCAUGUGUACUGUAUGUACAAGGUCCUGAGUUUAAUUCCCAGCACCGCCC